UACGGGGGGGGCUAGCGUUGUUCGGAAUUACUGGGCGUAAAGGGUGCGUAGGCGGCCCGUUAAGUCAGUGGUGAAAGCCUCCAGCUCAACUGGAGAACUGCCAUUGAUACUGACGGGCUUGAGUACAGACGAGGUUGGCGGAAUUGAUUGUGUAGCGGUGAAAUGCAUAGAGAUCGGAAGGAACACCAGUGGCGAAGGCGGCUACCUGGACAGAUACUGACACUGAGGCGCGAGAGCGUGGGGAGCAAACAGG
rnacentral:rRNA from 1 species